CCCUUAGAUGUUCUGGGCCGCACGCGCGCUACACUGACGGAGUCAACGAGUUGUCCUGCAUCGGAAGGUGUGGGUAAUCUUUUGAAACUUCGUCGUGCUGGGGAUAGAUCUUUGCAAUUUUCGAUCUUGAACGAGGAAUUCCUAGUAAGCGUGAUUCAUCAGAUCGCGUUGAUUACGUCCCUGCCCUUUGUACACACCGCCCGUCGCUACUACCGAUUGAAUGGUUUAGUGAGGCCUCGGGACUGGCGCGCUCGAGUAGCAAUACACCUGCGCGCCGGGAACUUGGUCAAACCUGAUCAUUUAGAGGAAGUAAAAGUCGUAACA
rnacentral:rRNA from 1 species